AUUGAACGCUGGCGGCAGGCCUAACACAUGCAAGUCGAACGGUAGCACAGAGAGCUUGCUCUCGGGUGACGAGUGGCGGACGGGUGAGUAACGUCUGGGAAACUGCCCGAUGGAGGGGGAUAACUACUGGAAACGGUAGCUAAUACCGCAUAACGUCGCAAGACCAAAGUGGGGGACCUUCGGGCCUCACACCAUCGGAUGUGCCCAGAUGGGAUUAGCUAGUAGGUGGGGUAAUGGCUCACCUAGGCGACGAUCCCUAGCUGGUCUGAGAGGAUGACCAGCCAAACUGGAACUGAGACACGGUCCAGACUCCUACGGGAGGCAGCAGUGGGGAAUAUUGCACAAUGGGCGCAAGCCUGAUGCAGCCAUGCCGCGUGUAUGAAGAAGGCCUUCGGGUUGUAAAGUACUUUCAGCGGGGAGGAAGGCGGUGAAGUUAAUAACUUCACCGACUGACGUUACCCGCAGAAGAAGCACCGGCUAACUCCGUGCCAGCCGCCGCCGUAACAC
rnacentral:rRNA from 1 species